CGUAAUGCGUGAAGCAUAUUCCAGGAAUAUUCCAAAGCAUAUUCAAGGAAUAUUCCAAAGCAUAUUCAAGGAAUAUUCUCUUAUUUUCUUCUAUAAAUAUCCUUUACCAGUUUAUUUCGCACGUACAAUCAUUUCGUCAGUUUCUCUGCACGAAUACCGAGAGAAGACGAACGGGUGUUCUUCGUGUUCUUCAUAUUCAAACGAGGAUUUGAAGGCGUUAUUGGAAUCCGAUGGAGGCGUAUAAAUAGUCAAAACGAAGCUCUCGACGCGUAGAAUCUAUUUUUAACAACCGUAUCAAUGCAGAUUUCACGGGGUUUGGACGAGACGGAUACGAUCGAAGACGUUCAGAAGGUCAAACGAUGUUACAAAGCGAAUAAGGAACGAAUCGAGUAAACGAAGCAGUGUGGCGAAUAGAGUAUAGCCAAAGAUGGUCUAGAGACUAUGAUAUGCAUAGAGUGUGAAAGUGGAAAGAUGAAAUUGAGAUAUGAGACUGGAAUCAGAUUUAAGGCAAGUUUUCCUAAAUCCUUCCUCAUAUAUAUAUUGCAUGUUCUGAUUAUUCUGUCAAGAUUAUGAUAUUGUUUAUACUGAAACCUUUCUCAAAUAUACCCUUACUUCUGAGCAUGAAACCCAUGAUUGUUUUCUUCUUCCAAGUUUUGAAAAUCCAAACACCUAAUUACUCUCAAUUUCUAUUACAAGUAUUCUGAUCCAUUCUUUCCAAUCCUCAAGAUAUUAAAAAUACCAGCUUUACAAAUUAAUUCAAAGUUCAGACCGUCAUUGAAGCAUGUGUUGCUCAGGGAUAGUUAGAACCUAGAAUGAACUGGGAUCUUCUUGAUUAUUCAACCCGCCAUUGUCAUGCUGGUUUAGCAGGUUAAAUUCAGUUGCUUAGCCGAUAAUGGAGGAUACUGAAUAAUUAGGAAUUUCCUGAACUAUGAUUUAUCAAAAGACAGACUAUGGUUUAUGAAAUGUUGAUUCCCAAAAGUUGAUUUGAAAUAUUUCUGUUGUUGAUAAUGAUUAUGAUUCUGUUCUGCUGAUUGAAUUGUUUAUUGAUUUCAAUUGUUAGAAUUGGAUUAGUUUUUAUAAAAUAUGUGGACCAGAUUCGUGGUCAGACCAGAUUCGUGGUCAAUUAUAGGCCAAUGUGUGCCUUGGAUCCAGUAUAGAGAACAGGGUUGUGUGCCAUGUUCGGGGUUAGUGCGUGACUGAUCAGCAGCCUAACCUUUGGUUUUUAAGUCAAAAUGUGAUGAAUCCAAUUCGACAAUUCUUCUGUAAGUUUGAAUUCUGAUUUCAAUUGCUGAUAAGAAUUGUGAAGUUUUCAAUUACAUAUCCUGAACUUGUGAACCCUGAUAAGAUAUUUCAGGACUAUUGUUGCUUAUAUACACUUGCUGAGCAUUGUUGCUCACCCUUGCUAUUCCUUUUUAACCAUUUCAGAAAAGCUUAAAGGUGAAUUGCAUAAUUGAGAUUGCGAAUAUGGCUAAGGCUAAGCGAGGAGUCAGAGUAUAGAGUAUACAGAGGACAAGUGGAAAUGUUCAGGGAGAUUGUCAAGGUUGGUUCUAGAUAGAAUUGUUGAGAUUCAGUUGUAAUCAUAAUUUAAAUAGAUUGGCAGUGAUUCUUCUCAUCGAAGAUGAUCUGAGGUUGUAAGACAUUGUUUAUUUAUAGUGGUUGAUUCUAAUUUCAA